UACGUAGGGGGCAAGCGUUGUCCGGAUUUAUUGGGCGUAAAGAGCGUGUAGGCGGCCAGGUAGGUCAGCUGUGAAAACUCGAGGCUCAACCUCGAGACGUCGGUUGAAACCACCUGGCUAGAGUCCGGAAGGGGAGAGUGGAAUUCCUGGUGUAGCGGUGAAAUGCGCAGAUAUCAGGAAGAACACCCGUGGCGAAGGCGGCACACUGGGCCGAUACUGACGCUGAGGAGCGAAAGCGUGGGGAGCGAACAGG
rnacentral:rRNA from 1 species